AACGCACCUUGCACCUUUUGGUUAUUCCGAAAGGUACACCUGUUUGAAUGUCACGAAACCCCCCUCGGCUCUAAUGCUUUCUAAAAGGAUUAGAGACGGAUUCUGAGUGUUGGCGUGAAUACGCCUCGCUUUAAAUAUAUCAGCACUUUUGGAUGGUUUAGAAUUAGUUCAAAAGACGUACUUGAUGUUGUAUUUAUAUUUCAUUGAGGCAGUCUUUGGUCGUUACGACUAUCCACUAAUCCGAAAACUUGAAGAAUAGCUUCCUAACCCUAUUACAUUACCCUUUAGACUUCAAAUCAGGUGGGACUACCCGCUGAACUUAA
rnacentral:misc_RNA from 1 species